rnacentral:rRNA from 1 species
GAUGAACGCUGGCGGCGUGCCUAAUACAUGCAAGUCGAGCGAACAGACGAGGAGCUUGCUCCUUCGACGUUAGCGGCGGACGGGUGAGUAACACGUAGGUAACCUACCUAUAAGACUGGGAUAACUUCGGGAAACCGGAGCUAAUACCGGAUAAUAUUUCGAACCGCAUGGUUCGAUAGUGAAAGAUGGCUUUGCUAUCACUUAUAGAUGGACCUGCGCCAUAUUAGCUAGUUGGUAAGGUAACGGCUUACCAAGGCAACGAUACGUAGCCGACCUGAGAGGGUGAUCGGCCACACUGGAACUGAGACACGGUCCAGACUCCUACGGGAGGCAGCAGUAGGGAAUCUUCCGCAAUGGGCGAAAGCCUGACGGAGCAACGCCGCGUGAGUGAUGAAGGUCUUCGGAUCGUAAAACUCUGUUAUUAGGGAAGAACAAACGUGUAAGUAACUGCGCACGUCUUGACGGUACCUAAUCAGAAAGCCACGGCUAACUACGUG